CAAUAUUUCUUCUAUAGGAUUGCAGUGACCAGACAUGCUAUUGUAACUCUCAUGGUCAUGUGCUGGAAUUAGCAGAUAUUCAACAAUUUGGCCAUCUCGCCGACCUAUUGAUAUCAGAAGGUAACGAUAUCCAGUAGAAUUUGUUUUAGUUGUUCAGUAACCUAUUUGAAUAGUAUUGUGAUUUUUGAUUGCUUAUCAUUGUAGACCGCAGCAGCUCUGCAAAGCAAGUUGCAAAACAGAAUCCAUGAAACUGGUAGUGACUGGAAACCAAUUGGAAGACUUUGGUCUGUGAUGUAGAGGAAUGGGCAGAGGCAGAAGCAAAGACAACAAACAACAAAAGUGAUAUGGAUGUCUUCGUCAUAUGGCAUGACUCUGCUGACCCAGCAACAAAGAGGAGGGUGUUCAACAUCAUCCUGCUAGUCAGGAUUCUUCAGGAGAAGCAGAGGAUUCUUGUGGCAGAGAUGGCCAACCACUAUAAAUACCUUUCAACUCAUCCUGGUUCUUUCAAAGAACUUUCCUGCUUAUUUGCUUCUGAAAUGU
ensembl:processed_transcript